UACGUAGGGGGCUAGCGUUGUCCGGAAUCAUUGGGCGUAAAGCGCGUGUAGGCGGCCCGGUAAGUCCGCUGUGAAAGUCCAGGGCUCAACCCUGGGAUGCCGGUGGAUACUGUCGGGCUCGAGUCCGGAAGAGGCGAGUGGAAUUCCUGGUGUAGCGGUGAAAUGCGCAGAUAUCAGGAGGAACACCAACGGCGAAGGCAGCUCGCUGGAACGGUACUGACGCUGAGGCGCGAAAGCGUGGGGAGCGAACAGG
rnacentral:rRNA from 1 species